rnacentral:rRNA from 1 species
UAUGUGAUCGUCUCUCGCAUAUCAAUAAGCGGAGGAAAAGAAACUAACAAGGAUUCCCUUAGUAACGGCGAGUGAAGCGGGAAGAGCUCAAAUUUGAAAUCUUCAAGGUUUUACCUUGACGAAUUGUAGUUUAAAGAAGUGUUUUCUGUUGAAGUUUUGGUAAAAGUUCUUUGGAAUAGGACAUCAUAGAGGGUGAGAAUCCCGUAUUUGACCAUUAUUUUCAGCUGUGUGAUACACUUUCAAAGAGUCGGAUUGUUUGGGAAUGCAGUCCAAAAUGGGUGGUAAAUUUCAUCUAAAGCUAAAUAUUGGCGAGAGACCGAUAGCGAACAAGUACCGUGAGGGAAAGAUGAAAAGAACUUUGAAAAGAGAGUUAAACAGUACGUGAAAUUGUCAGAAGGGAAGCGUUUGACACCAGUGUUGUUUUCUCGAAAAUCAAUUAAAAAGAGUUAGAUUUUGUUGUGUAUUGACCUUAACAGCUUGCAUUUCAAUUUUCUUGCUUUUUUUAAUGCACUUUUCGUUUAACAAGUCAACAUCAGUUUCUUUUGUUGUAAAAGGGUAUGAGGAAGGUGGCUUUCUUUUCGGAGAAAGUGUUUAUAGCCUUGUGCCUCUGCAAUCGGAGAGAUUGAGGUCUGCAGCGUAGAUCCUUCGGGGUUAGAUACAUUUGUGCUAAGUUAUAGCUUUUUCAUAGACAACUUGUUGACUAUGAUUUAGUCUUGUAGCUUACUCGCUUACUGCUAUUUUACCUACGCUUAGGAUGUUGACGAUCAGCUGAGCGCG